GGCCGCGGGUUUGGAGGAAAGCAGGGGAUCGUAAGACCUUGCGCUUUUGGAGUGGCCGAUGCCUGAUUAGCUAGUUGGUGGGGUAAGAGCCUACCAAGGCGACGAUCAGUAGUUGGUCUGAGAGGACGACCAGCCACACUGGGACUGAGACACGGCCCAGACUCCUACGGGAGGCAGCAGUGGGGAAUUUUGGACAAUGGGCGGAGGCCUGAUCCAGCAAUGCCGCGUGAGUGAAGAAGGCCUUCGGGUUGUAAAGCUCUUUCAGUCGAGAAGAAAAGGUUGCGACUAAUAAUCGCAACUUAUGACGGUAUCGACAGAAGAAGCACCGGCUAACUACGUGCCAGCAGCCGCGGUAAUACGUAGGGUGCGAGCGUUAAUCGGAAUUACUGGGCGUAAAGGGUGCGCAGGCGGCUCUGUAAGUCAGAUGUGA
rnacentral:rRNA from 1 species